rfam:Roseateles aquatilis strain CCTG 48205 Scaffold5_1, whole genome shotgun sequence.
UGUUCCGAGGAGCGUUGCGACCUCCCCACCCAUCGAGGCCAGGCUCGGAACCGCCGCGCGACGACAUGCCCGCGGCCAUGGCAACCGCGCUCACCCGUC